rnacentral:ribozyme from 1 species
GUGAGCCUAGUGAUAGGAAACUAUCUAGCUUGGUUCGGAGAGCACUUGUUGGGUGAAAGAUUUUUUUU